AUACGGAGGGUGCAAACGUUACUCGGAAUCACUGGGCGUAAAGCGCGCGCAGGCGGCUAUUUAAGUUGGAUGUGAAAGCCUACGGCUCAACCGUAGAACUGCAUCCAAAACUAUUUAGCUAGAGUGUGGGAGAGGAAGAUGGAAUUAGUUGUGUAGGGGUAAAAUCCGUAGAGAUAACUAGGAAUACCAAAAGCGAAGGCAAUCUUCUGGAACACUAAUGACGCUGAGGCGCGAAAGCGUGGGGAGCAAACAGGAUUAGAAACCCUAGUAGUCC
rnacentral:rRNA from 1 species